rnacentral:rRNA from 1 species
UACGUAGGGGGCAAGCGUUGUCCGGAAUCAUUGGGCGUAAAGAGCGUGUAGGCGGCCCGGUAAGUCCGCCCGUGAAAGUCCAGGGCUCAACCCUGGAAUGCCGGUGGAAACUGCCGGGCUGGAGUCCGGAAGAGGCGAGUGGAAUUCCUGGUGUAGCGGUGAAAUGCGCAGAUAUCAGGAAGAACACCCGUGGCGAAGGCGGCUCUCUGGGACGGUACUGACGCUGAGGCACGAAAGCGUGGGGAGCAAACAGG